GUAGGAACUGGGUCUAAUACCGGAUAGGAGCCAUCUUUAGUGUGGUGGUUGGAAAGUUUUUCGGUGUAGGAUGAGCUCGCGGCCUAUCAGCUUGUUGGUGGGGUAAUGGCCUACCAAGGCGGCGACGGGUAGCCGGCCUGAGAGGGUGUACGGCCACAUUGGGACUGAGAUACGGCCCAG
rnacentral:rRNA from 1 species